AUUCUUCAUUGCAAAAAAAGAGCCCGAAAUUGAUUUUUCUUUUUUUUUUUUAAAUUAAUUUUCUCAAGAUAUAAAAACAAAAACUUUUGUAAACAAGAAAAAAAAAGAACAAUUUAUCAAUUUUUACUAUAGGUAUUUCAGAUCGUUUUUGGAACACAAUCAGUGCCCAGGAUGACCAGCCCGGAAGCCUUACCCGGAUGCCCUAUUCAGGAAGCCCUGCCCGGACCCCUACCCGCAUGGCCUGCCUGAAUGCUCUACCCGGAUGCCCUGCCCGCUUUUGCUUUAAUUUUUGACAACAUUCCAAAAUGCGGAAAUGUAUGUUAAUUCUUCUGAUUCGUAUUUUUUCAAAAAAUUCAUUAUUAUUCUAAACUUUUUUUUCCAUAUUUUAGAUCCGUUUGAAGCACAAAACUGUCCGUGCCUGGCUUCAGUCCUCAAUUUCUGGGAUCCGGUCUUACACAACUUUAUGCAACAUAAUUUUCCGGAAAUGGAAGUCCCGGAAGUCACAAAGGUGAAGAGGAGAGAUCAUCUGAAAAGCCGCCCAGCAUCGAAGGAGACAGCAGGAGAAGGAAAAGGCAACGCCGGAUAUAUUUUUUCAAUAUUUUUUUGUAAAUUUUAAAAAUAUUAAAUAAAUCUAUAUAAUAAAGGUCUGUUUGUUGGUAAUCUUCCGUCGUGUUCGGCUAUACAAAUCUACACCGUUUGACCGAUUGCGAUGAAAUUUGGUACAGACGCUCCUUAUAUCAGUCUGUUUCGAGUGGCCGUAUUCAUUUUCCCCCCAAAGCCCCCCUUUAGGUAGCCCCCAUAUAAAAUUCAUGCAUUUUUUGCGAAUUUUUAAAUUUGGCGCCGGAAAUGUUGCUUGAAAAUGAUUUCUUCUCUUUGCAAAUUUUUUUCUUUGGGUUUAAUGAGUGGCCCUAUUUUUUUUUACUUAUAAACCAUCACAAUUUUUUUCUCCAAAAUUUGCGCGAAGCGCAACAAAUCCCCGCGAAGCAAUUUGCAAAAAAAAACGCUUUUUUUAAAUUCAAAACGAAUUUCAACGGUAUAACAGAUUGGUGAAUUUUUUCAGAAAACUGCGGAAAUAUUCUGCAGAAAAAGUGUCCCAGCGCCAUACAAAAUUUCUAAAGAAUUUCUAAAGAACACGUGUUCAGAAUACCUUUAGUGCUUUCGAAUUUUUCUGCAGAAAUUCGGCAGCUAGUUUUUGAUGGGGAGGAGAGGUCAUAACCUCAAAGUUUUACCCCCAAAACCCUAUAUAAGUGCGGGAAGUGACUGCAGAAGUGCCUCGGAUUCCAUGAGCUCCACACUUAGAAGAAGAGGAGCUGCUGGUAGCCAGCCACCUAGAAGGCAGAAGAAAUACCCCGGUUCCACGAGCCCCCAGUCUGAGAGGAGCGUUUGUGGCAGUGUCGAGCCAGGAAGGAUGUCAAUUGACUUAAGUCACACCGGGAUCCAGGGCGUGAGGAGAGAUCUCACAAAAUCCCCAAUCACCAGAAAAUCUGUCGGAGAAUCUAGUGGGCCCGAAUCGAAGGAUGUCUUGGAUGAUGAUCUACCAUAUUGGAGUCAUUUAUCGUCCACUUCCUGCCCAGUGCCUCGCUCCAGGGAGGCUCAUCCCCAUCAGGAGCCACGAGGUCGUACCCGGAUAGACCAAGCUUUGGUCAUCUCCCACACUGGUGAAGAAAUCAAUGCCCACUGCUGCAUCCCAAGGAGAUUCAUCACGAAGUGAUUCACGGCGGAAUAAUAGAUCCGGAAGGUAGCUCCAUUGCUUUUCCGGAGGCUGCCCUAACUCUUACCUGGGAUUAUUCUUCAGAAUUUAUGCCACACUUAUUCUUAAAAAUAAACAGAUCCUGAGGUGACCUAUGCUGUUUUUCUUCCCCUCCCUCUCUCUUCUAGGCUCUCGUGGAAUCUCAUUCUUUGGGGCUACUUUAAAGCCGAAUAUGAUAAGGGUAAAUUUCAUCACAAAAAAAUUUUUUUUUAAAUUUUUUGAUAUAUUGUAGCUGACUAUAUUAUCUAGGCUCCAUGCCAAAAAUGCAGAAAAUCUAUGGAUCCGUUCUCGAGAUAUAGCCUUCCAAAGUUGGCAUGUCAUAUCUCGGGUUCUACAAGUCCGAUGUUGAUCAACUCAAGCGCAAAUGAAAGGUUUCGUGAAACUCUACAAAUGUCUAGAACAUUGCAACUUCGAGAAAUGACCGCAAGAGACGCUAAAAUCGAAAACAAAACUUUCGAAAAUUUCGAACUCGAAUUUUUUGAAAAUGGCGACAUAAUUUUUUUUCGUUUUUCGAUAUGUUAUAGCUGACUUCAAGACAUGACUUUUCAACUUUUCCCGACUUUACGCGUAUUUAAAUUAAUUCGCGUUCUAAGUUUGCUCUCACAAAA